AGAGUUUGAUCCUGGCUCAGGACGAACGCUGGCGGUGUGCCUCACACAUGCAAGUCGAACGGGGUAGCAAUACCCAGUGGCGGACGGGUGAGUAACACGUGGGAAUCUGCCUUAGGGUGGGGGAUAACUGACCGAAAGGUUAGCUAAUACCGCAUAUGUCGCAAGAUAAAAGGAGCAAUCCGCCAUAAGAUGAGCCCGCG
rnacentral:rRNA from 1 species